rnacentral:rRNA from 1 species
AUUGAACGCUGGCGGCAGGCCUAACACAUGCAAGUCGGGCGAGCGGCGGACGGGUGAGUAAUGUCUGUGGAACUGCCUGAUGGAGGGGGAUAACUACUGGAAACGGUAGCUCAUCCCGCCUACCAUCAGCUGUACCCAUAUGGGAUUGGCUUGUAGGUGAGGUAAGUGCUCACCUGGGAGACGAUCCCUCGCUGGUCUGAGAGGAUGAGCAGCCACACUGGGACGGAGAAAGGGCACAGAGUCAUACGGGAGGAGGCAGUGGGGAAUCGUGCACAAUGGGCGCAAGCCUGAUGCAGCCGUGCCGCGUGUAUGAAGAAGGCCUUCGGGUUGUAAAGUACUGUCAGGCGGGAGGCGUUACCGACAGAAGAAGCACCGGCUAACUCCGUGCCAGCAGCCGCGGUAAUAC